rnacentral:rRNA from 1 species
AGUGAACGCUGGCGGUAGGCCUAACACAUGCAAGUCGAACGGCAGCACAGUAAGAGCUUGCUCUUACGGGUGGCGAGUGGCGGACGGGUGAGGAAUACAUCGGAAUCUACUUUUUCGUGGGGGAUAACGUAGGGAAACUUACGCUAAUACCGCGUACGACCUACGGGUGAAAGCAGGGGAUCUUCGGACCUUGCGCGAUUGAAUGAGCCGAUGUCGGAUUAGCUAGUUGGCGGGGUAAAGGCCCACCAAGGCGACGAUCCAUAGCUGGUCUGAGAGGAUAAUCAGCCACACUGGAACUGAGACACGGUCCAGACUCCUACGGGAGGCAGCAGUGGGGAAUAUUGGACAAUGGGCGCAAGCCUGAUCCAGCCAUACCGCGUGGGUGAAGAAGGCCUUCGGGUUGUAAAGCCCUUUUGUUGGGAAAGAAAAGCAGCAGGUUAAUACCCCGCUGUUCUGACGGUACCCAAAGAAUAAGCACCGGCUAACUUCGUG